GUGCCAGCAGCUGCGGUAAUACGUAGGUGGCAAGCGUUAUCCGGAUUUAUUGGGCGUAAAGCGAGCGCAGGCGGUUUUUUAAGUCUGAUGUGAAAGCCCUCGGCUUAACCGAGGAAGUGCAUCGGAAACUGGGAAACUUGAGUGCAGAAGAGGACAGUGGAACUCCAUGUGUAGCGGUGAAAUGCGUAGAUAUAUGGAAGAACACCAGUGGCGAAGGCGGCUGUCUGGUCUGUAACUGACGCUGAGGCUCGAAAGCAUGGGUAGCGAACAGGAUUAGAUACCCUGGUAGUCCAUGCCGUAAACGAUGAAUGCUAGGUGUUGGAGGGUUUCCGCCCUUCAGUGCCGCAGCUAACGCAUUAAGCAUUCCGCCUGGGGAGUACGACCGCAAGUUGAAACUCAAAGGAAUUGACGGGGCCCGCACAAGCGGUGGAGCAUGUGGUUUAAUUCGAAGCAACGCGAAGAACCUUACCAGGUCUUGACAUCUUUUGAUCAACCUGAGAGAUCA
rnacentral:rRNA from 1 species